GGCAAGGAAGAAUAACUAGAUCUCAUUUUUUUUUCUAACCUACAAAAAAUGAGAUCUAGUUAUUCUUCUUUGCCC
rnacentral:tRNA from 1 species